UGAGGAACAUGACCUUCGGCGGGGGAUAGCCGGCCCAACGGCCGGGUAAUACCGCGUACGACCACAUGGGGACAUCCCUGAGUGGUGAAAGCAGCAGUGCGCCGAUGGAGUGCCUCGCGGCCUAUCAGCUAGUUGGUGAGGUAACGGCUCACCAAGGCAACGACGGGUANCUGGUCUGAGAGGAUGGUCAGCCACAGUUGGGACUGAGACACCGGCCCAGACCUCGUAACCGGGGAGG
rnacentral:rRNA from 1 species